UACGGAGGAUGCGAGCGUUAUCCGGAUUUAUUGGGUUUAAAGGGUGCGUAGGCGGCUUUUUAAGUCAGCGGUGAAAUUUUGCAGCUUAACUGUAACAGUGCCGUUGAUACUGGGGAGCUAGGAUUUGGUUGCUGUGGGUGGAAUGUGUGGUGUAGCGGUGAAAUGCUUAGAGAUCACACAGAAUAUCGAUUGCGAAGGCAGCUCACAAAGCCAAGAUUGACGCUUGAGGCACGAAAGUGUGGGGAUCAAACAGGA
rnacentral:rRNA from 1 species